AUUGAACGCUGGCGGCAGGCCUAACACAUGCAAGUCGAACGAGUGGCGGACGGGUGAGUAAUGGCGGGGAAACUGCCUGAUGGAGGGGGAUAACUACUGGAAACGGUAGCUAAUACCGCAUACCAUCAGAUGUGCCCAGAUGGACUUAGCUUGUUGGUGGGGUAACGGCUCACCAAGGCGACGAUCCCUAGCUGGUCUGAGAGGAUGACCAGCCACACUGGUACUGAGACACGGUCCAGAAUCCUACGAGAGGCAGCAGUGGGUAAUAUUGCACCAUGGGCGCAAGCCUGAUGCGGCCAUGCCGCGUGUAUGAAGAAGGCCUUCGGGUUGUAAAGUCCUUUCAGCGUGGAGGCGUUACCCGCAGAAUAAGCACCGGCUAACUCCGUGCCAGCCGCCGCGGUAAUUC
rnacentral:rRNA from 1 species